UCUGAGACCUCCCAGCCAUGUGGAACUUGGCACCAACCCCGACUGAGAACCCCGGGUAGAAGACGGAUAAUUUGGUCAGAAAGUGAACAAGGCUCUUGGAAACAUGCAGUGAUACCAGUUUGACUGAAUUAAAGUUGUAUCAUAAAGGCUUGAAUGUGGAUGACUGCAGACAGCGCGAGGUCACUGAGUCCAUAAGCAGCAAGAAGGGCACACAGAGGGGAAAAGGAGAAGCUGGCUGCUGGAGGAGGCAAACUGGACUUCACCAUGUUUUCUGGGGUGGGACCUGACUUUGACCUCAUGUAUACAGAUGGGCUUGACUGAGCUCAUCUAUGCUUAUGUCCAGGUGCUAUGUCUUACGGUAAUAUAUUUUUUUCAACUACCAUUGAAAGACAUGAGAAAUGAAACAUGAAAAUAUUUAAUAAUUCAGUAUUUUCAAGUGUCUAGACUACUGAACAUAUUAUCCAAGAAAUUAUUUAGAAGAAAGGGAAAGGAAAUAGGCAAGAGACUUUACGAGUCCUGACUCUGAAUCGGUUGUUUUCAGAGUUUUAGUUCUCACAGAGUAGAUACUAUUUUCCCUGUUUCACAGAUGACAAAUGUGAGGGUCAGAUAGAUCAGGGAACGUGCCCAAAGUUUCACAGCUAGUCAAUGAGAGAAAGCAUUUUCCAAGCCAGGUUCACUUGGCUGCAAAGCACUUACUCUUUUUGAUACACAGCAUGCUGCCUAGAUGUUUCGGCACAUUUGUAUUACAAAAAUGUUAGAAAUAAAAUUAUGUUUGUUAAAGGAUAGGCAUUUAAAAAGCUCUGGGUUGGGGUUGUCUGUGGAUGAAAUUAUAAAAUGAUAGUUCCCCCCAAAAGACACAUACACGCACGCACGCACGCGCACAUGCAAUGUUGGUUAUUAUGGCUGCGUCACUGAAUUUAUUUGGAAGGACCAUCUUCUUUCGCAUGACAGAAUACAGAUGGCCAUAAACUAUUUACCCAGACAUUUUGAGGGUGAGGGAAUGCAGUCACCAUUUGAAACAAAAAUACAACUCUAGCAAUACAUAUGAAAGUGAAUUACUUUGUUAAUGUGAAAGGGAAGAGGGGGAAAAUGAAUAAAACAGCAAGAAUACAACUGCGAGGAGACUAAAAGGAACAAGGGGUAACUCUGAGACAAGGCAUAUGUGUAGGCUAGACAGAGAGCCGUUUUAGAAAUGUUUAUAAACAAUGAUGUUUGUGGAAUGGGAAGCUGAAUAGCUGUGAUAUUAGGGCUUUCCACUCCUGGAAAAAUAUGGACACCAUGGCUUACAAGUUAUUUGAUUUUGACAAGCAUCUUCCUACUUCCUCUAACAUUUGGUUAGAAACCUACUGAAGUGAUUGCUUUAAAUAAGAAAAAAAAUUCACAUUCUACAUGCGUUUUAUUUCCUAAAACACCCCUAAAUUAUACAGGUUCUCUGAAAAGAUAAGUAUCUCAAUAUUUAGAAGAUGACUUUAGCCUACUGUUUAAGGGUUUUUCAUGCCUUAACUCCUUUAAAAAAUCCUAACAGGCUACAAAAUAGAAAAUAAAUUAAGGAGGAUAGUUCCUUUAUACGAUAAAUCUGCAUUUGGUAGUGACAGUCAAGUACAAACUGUAAAUAACCUAAAAAACUCCUAACUAGUAAUACACAGGUUAAUCAACUAUGAUUAAAAAUAAAUAGGUUUUUUUUGCCAUGAACAAUAUCUUUAACUCAAAAUUAAAUAAUUGCAGCAUACUAGGCAAACUAUAAAAUAAGGAAUUUUUAAAGGCAGAGAAUGAUGUUCUUUCUCCAUUAUAAAUCUGAUGAGUCUCGGUGACCUUUUGUUCACAUGAACACUGACAAACUCUGCAUAAUGCAUGACUGUCCCAACCCCCUUCUCCUCCCAAUAGUUCCUGCUUUGAUUCUAAUCUGUAUUCUAGGGUCUGGGGUGGGACACUUUCGUAAGCGGUGGGGGCGAGGGGAUGGCAAUGGUAGACCCUGGUCAGGGCUGUCAGAAGCCUUGGAGUCCUCUGGGAAGAGCAGAGGGCAAUAAUUUAUUACAGUAUAGGAGAGACAGCUGGGAAGUAAUUCCUCCGUGUUAUCUUGAUGAUUGGAGAAGGAGUCAAAGAAAUAACACGAGUUCAGUGCUAUGAAGGAAAAAGCACUGGACAGUGAUUUGGAUGGGUAUCCACUUGGUUUUCUUGGUUACAAUUUAAGGCAGAUGUGAAACUCAAAAAGGUACCUUGGGACCAUCGUGUUCUUGGUAAAGUUGCCACAAAUGCCACAACAGCUUAGAGAAACCCCGAAAUACUGGUCUUGGAAAAAAAAAUUAGACAGUUUUAGCUCUUAGGGGAAAGAGCAAUAGAUUUAUUUGAUGAAAUAAUUAAUAAGUCAUGGUCCCCACAACCAUUUUCAGGCAUGAAGCUAGCACUGAAUACUUUGUGCUUUCAAAGUUUCGAAUGACCUUCCGUUAAACUUUCAUAACAAGAUUCCUUUAAAACACAUUUAUGCUUUGCUAUUAACACUACUAAUCAUACAGUGAUUAAUAAUAGGGGUGGUAAUGGCAUUACUUAUGAAUCCUAGAAUUAAAAUUAGGUGUUCGUCUCCAUCCUACCCAACAGCCUGGAGUGUGUCAAGACAUCGGACCAUGCAGAAUCUUAUUGUUUGUAUUUUCAAUGUCUUGUGCAUCAAGACAAGAAAUGAAUGAGUUUUAAAAACCUGUAUAUAAAGACUGUUGAGUCCUAGCAUAAGCACAUUGCUUACACACAUAUGAAUCUGUGCUGUGACACUAGGUACAAGUAUAGAGGACGCCUAACUUCACUUAAAGUCUAAGUAAACACAAAGCAUGGCCUACAGUGAUUUCCCUGCAUUGGAGAACCGGACAUAUGUCUCGUCAUCCUUCGGACAAGCUGGUAACAUUAAAAGGAGACAAUACCAGAGUAAACACUCAUAUAUUCAUGAUGAGACAAAAACAUUAAAAUUCAUUAAAAUGUUACAAAUAAAAAAGUCACUUUUGUUUUGGUAUUUACAUACUUGAAAGAGGUUUAUUUGGCGUUCUGGGAGGUUACUACAUUUCCAGUCAAAGUCUACCGAUGACUUGCGGAGGGAGAGGAAAGCUGUCAGGUUCUCUAACUUCCCCAUCUGUUCAUGCCCCUCCUGGAUGGCUCCCGUUCUCCAAUGGAGAAGCGGAGCGCUGGCCUCUUGAAAGCUGUUUUUCUGGCACUGCCUUCCUGAGCUAAAGAAAUGGUUUGGUUUAAAAUACCUUCCCUUUUAGUCCUGUCCCAGCUUCAAGAUGAAUGUCCUUAAUUUUAAAGAAGCACCGUCCAAUAGUUUAUAUGUUGCUGGAAGAAGAAAAUUAUAUUAUGUUGUAAUUAUGUAGAGAACUAGCAUAUGGCUCUUUCCAGGGGAAAAGUAGUUUUUAACCCGUAAACUCUAGAAGGAACUUACAUAAGAAUAGAAAUCCAGGCACCAGGAAACACAUGUAUUCAUCAUUUUAUUGCUUCUUAAAAUUUACUCUGACAUGAGAGGAGAAUGUAUCAUCGCACAUACUCUCAUGAAUGUAGCAGAUGAAAUCCAGGAAAGUUUAAUCAAUAAAAAUGACAGUACAUAUAUUUCUAUAGUACUUAAAGUUUAUAACACGCACACAUUAUCUCAUGUGACCCUCGCGUACAACUAAAACUAAGGGAAGGGAUAUUCUUCAAUUUUAAGAUAAGAAACCAGGCUAGAGGUUAAUAAACAUUUUUUUUUUUAAAGAUAAAAAGCUCACUCAGACUAUUAUAUCUUUAAAUGAGGGUUAAUCUGGAAAUAGGCCAGUCAGUUUGAACCUAUUUUUAAGAUCAUUCAGCUAGUUGGGAGGCAAACUCAAGACACAAACUCCGCCUUCUCUGAGGAAAAUCAGCACUCUUCACAAAUUCCUAGAAUGACACCAGUGUGCCCAUGGUCAUAGACUAUUUAUACAAGAUUUUUUACUCUCUAGUUUGGUUUGUCAAUGCCACGUUCUUGACAUUGGGCUUAUUUUUAAAAAUCACUUAAUAGAAUAAAUGAAGCAAUAAUGGGAUCUAAACUAUUGGAAGAAUCAGACAAAAGUAAUUUUAAAAUAAGAAAGGAGGAGCUGGAUGUUAAAACACUAAUUUUAUUUCUGAAAUUAUUUUUUCCAGAUUUCUACAUGGUAUUAUCUUAAUGUUUGAAACUCUUUCAAGAUGUCAGUUUGAAUCCCUGCAUUACAUUUUAUACUGUUUCUGCUGGUACUGCUCAUAGAGCUUACGUGACUAAUUAAACCUCACUGCUAUUACAUUUCAAGCAGAAGUUGAAGUUUACUUAUUUCUCAAUAAAAACUAUGAUUGUCUGCCAUGAUACCCAUGCAUUAUUCGA